GAUGAACGCUGGCGGCGUGCCUAAUACAUGCAAGUAGAACGCUGAAGGAGGAGCUUGCUCUUCUGGAUGAGUUGCGAAAGGGUGAGUAACGCGUAGGUAACCUGCCUGGUAGCGGGGGAUAACUAUUGGAAACGAUAGCUAAUACCGCAUGACAACAGUUAUUGCAUGAUAACUGUUUAAAAGGGGCAACUGCUCCACUACCAGAUGGACCUGCGUUGUAUUAGCUAGUUGGUGAGGUAACGGCUCACCAAGGCGACGAUACAUAGCCGACCUGAGAGGGUGAUCGGCCACACUGGGACUGAGACACGGCCCAGACUCCUACGGGAGGCAGCAGUAGGGAAUCUUCGGCAAUGGACGGAAGUCUGACCGAGCAACGCCGCGUGAGUGAAGAAGGUUUUCGGAUCGUAAAGCUCUGUUGUAAGAGAAGAACGAGUGUGAGAGUGGAAAGUUCACACUGUGACGGUAGCUUACCAGAAAGGGACGGCUAACUACGUG
rnacentral:rRNA from 1 species